AUCUUUCCAUUCAAUUUCAAGAGGAAGCAAUUUCAUGUAAGGCAUAGCUUUUCUAUUACGAUUAACAAGGCUCAAGGGUAGACCAUUCAGAUUGUUGGCAUUUACCUACCUAAUCUGGUGUUCUCUCAUGGUCAACUCUAUGUCGCGUUGUCUCAAGCCACCGCGAAGAGAAACAAAAAGAUCCUCAUUGAGAAGGAGAAGGAGAAGGAGAAUGGCAUGAAGCAAAGCAAGUAA
rnacentral:rRNA from 1 species